rnacentral:rRNA from 1 species
UACAGAGGUUGCAAGCGUUGUUCGGAUUUACUGGGCGUAAAGCGUGCGUAGGCGGUAUUGAGAGUCGCGGGUGAAAUCCCAGGGCUUAACCCUGGAACUGCCUGCGAGACCUCAGUACUAGAGUGUGAGAGGGGUUGGUGGAAUUCCCAGUGUAGCGGUGAAAUGCGUAGAGAUUGGGAGGAACACCUGUGGCGAAGGCGGCCAACUGGCUCACAACUGACGCUCAGGCACGAAAGCGUGGGGAGCAAACAGG